rnacentral:rRNA from 1 species
UGGGGAAUCUUGCGCAAUGGGCGAAAGCCUGACGCAGCCAUGCCGCGUGUAUGAUGAAGGUCUUAGGAUUGUAAAAUACUUUCCCCGGUGAAGAUAAUGACUGUAGCCGGAGAAGAAGCCUCGGCUAACUUCGUGCCAGCAGCCGCGGUAAUACGAAGGGGGCUAGCGUUGCUCGGAAUUACUGGGCGUAAAGGGAGCGUAGGCGGACAUUUAAGUCAGAGGUGAAAUCCCGGAGCUUAACUUCGGAACUGCCUUUGAUACUGGAUGUCUUGAGUGUGAGAGAGGUAUGUGGAACUCCGAGUGUAGAGGUGAAAUUCGUAGAUAUUCGGAAGAACACCAGUGGCGAAGGCGACAUACUGGCUCAUUACUGACGCUGAGGCUCGAAAGCGUGGGGAGCAAACA